rnacentral:misc_RNA from 1 species
GAUGAAGAACGUAGCGAAAUGCGAUACGUAAUGUGAAUUGCAGAAUUCAGUGAAUCAUCGAAUCUUUGAACGCAUAUUGCGCUCUCUGGUAUUCCGGAGAGCAUGCUUGUUUGAGUAUCAGUAAACACCUCAACUUCCAUAUCUUUUUUGAAAUGGGAGUUGGACUUGAGUGAUCCCAACGCUUUUCCUCACCGAAAAGUGGCGGGUUACUUGAAAUGCAGGUGCAGCGGGACUGUUCUCUGAGCUAUAAGCAUAUCUAUUUAGUCUGCCUAAAAAACAGAUUAUUACCUGUGCUGCAGCUAACAUAAAGGAGAUUAGUUCUUGUGCUGACUGAUGCAGGAUUCACAAAGACAGGCUUCGGCCGACUUUGUAAACUCGAUCUCAAAUCAAGUAAGACUACCCGCUGAACUUAAGCAUAUCAAUAAGCGGAGGA